rnacentral:sRNA from 1 species
ACACGAGAGAGGAGGUGGUCCAGCGUUGAAUACCAGCAGGACUCGUGAGGUGGCUGCCCGCUAGGCCGCCCGAUCGGUGUACGAACGCCGACGGCCGACGCGCCGUCCCCCGGCCACACACCGGGGGUGCGCGACGGGACACGGUCGGUGAAUACCAGGUAGUCACCCGGCCCUCGGAGUGCCGAGCUCAGUCCGGCUCGGCCCCGCGCCCUCGUAGGCGUGGGAGCCACUCCGGGGGCCGCCUGCC